ACUGCAGAAUCUAGAUUUUGAUUCUAUAGCUCUCGAAAACCUCCCGUAACUCACUUUUAAUCAUUUUAACACCUUCGGACUUUCCAAAAUGUACCGUCCUCGCACUUUGGUCAAUUUGACUAAAGUUCGAUAUUUAUUUUUUGAAUUUUCGGUAUAUUACAUUCUCCACCCCUUAAAAUAAUUUCGUCCGCGAAAUUACGCAUACCUUAACUUGUCGAUUCAAAUAAAUGCGGAUACUCUCGCCGCAUGGUUUCCUCGA
rnacentral:lncRNA from 1 species